GCUGGGGGUUUAACGUGGGGAUUUAAGGCCCACGGGCCGGGGCGGGCACUGUUUUAAACUGGUUUUAGCCAAAUCCGGGAAUUACGAAAUAAAACGCGUAGGUAGCAUCACGGUGCCGGGGGUCUCUGUCCGGGGGCUGGCUGGCUCCACCCCCAGGGGCGGGGCGGGUUUUGUGAUUAGGGGACAUUUGCAUAAUGACUCGUUUGCGCGCCCUUGAUCAGCGUUUCCCGGGGUGGGGCCGGAAGCGGCGCGUCCGGGCCCGGGGCAGCGGGCGGAGCCCGGCGGGGCCCCCGUGAGUGUCGGGGGCUGCCCCGGCUGUGCCCGGGGCACGGCAGUGACUGGGGCGGGGGGAGCUCCCCCGGGAGGGCAGCGGGGAUUGAGCCGGGGAUGGGGGAGCUGCCGGGGAAGGGGUGUUGGAGGGCUCCGAGGGGCUCCCGGUGCGACCCCAGUGACGCUCCCGCAUCCUCGGGCGGGAAGGGCAGGUAAGGGCAGUCCCCGAAACUGGCGCCGGGGUCGGCUCCGAGCACGGCUGGCCGGGUUCUGAUGCUCCCGCGCCUCUCCCCGUGUGACCCGUGCCCGGCUCUCCCCCGUGUCUCGCAGGCGGCUGUGGAGCCCCCGCAGCAGCGAUGGAGCCCCGCUGCCCGCCCUGGCUGCAGAGCUUUGCCGGGCCGUGCCGCCUCCUGCUCCACGCGCUGGCCUCCGGCCCCGCCGGGACACUCGCCGCCCUCCGGAUGCUGCAGCGGGACCAGCCCCGCGAGGGACCGGGACAGGCGUUCCCCUGGCAGGCCCUCACCGCAGCCCUGUGCGCCGAGGAGCCCGUGCUGGAGGAGCCACAGGGCGUCCUGGCUGUCAAGCCACGGCUGCUGCUGCUGCCCAUCAUGUGCCAGAGAAACUUCUUCUCCCUGCUCCUCGUGAUGUGGGAUGCAGUGCCAGGGGGCUGCCUUGGCCAGCUGCUCCAGGCCAUGGAACAGGAUUCCCAUGUGGAUCCCUGGAUGCGGACGCUGGGGGAUCUGCUCCGGCAGGGACCAAGAACAGAAAAGCGCUUCCCAUCUCCCACUCCACUCUCUUCUACAUGCCAGCAGCAGCUUAGGUGCCUGUGCCAGAAAAUUGCCCAGAACAAACCAGAGGGGCAAAGGAAAUUGAACUGGUGCUUUAGGAAGCAGCCUGAUGCCACUGGGGAUGUGGCUGACUCCGUGCCUCAAGGUGGAAAGCGCAAGAAAGUGUCGGAGGAGGGAGUGGAGUUGGUCAGUGACAGAGAGAGGAAGAGGUUGCUGCUGGAGGAGGUGGCAUUUGACCCUCUGGGACCCCAGGAAUGUGAGGAUGUGACAGGGAUAGAAGAGGAGGUGCCUGAGGAGCCUUCAGUGGAUACAUGUGCUGAGAGCACAGAUGGGGCUGCUCCAGACAGCUCCCAGCAGGAUGCAGUUGGGGAGCUCAGGAAGAGUCCCGAAACAGAGCUGGCAGCAGAGGCCCAGUCCUUUCUCCAGAUGCAUGGACAGAAGCUGAAAAUGCUGCUGCUGCAGGAGUCCAGCCACGCCGAGCUGAGCAUCCCACCUGAGCUGUGCAUCCUGAACAACUGCUCCCCCAGCCAGCUUGAAAGACUGUGCUCCUUCCUCCAGCUGUCUGUGUGCCCAGAGCCCUUCCUGGGGCGUUUCUGCAGGUGGCUGCUGGCUCUCACCCCUGACCUCAGCUACACCAGCGCGGCCAUCCUGGCAGAGCAGCUCUUCCUCAGGCGAGUCCUGUCCCUCACCCAGCCACCUUCCCGACACCUCAUGGCUGCCCUCGCUUCAUUUUGCUCCAAGUAUUCCCAGCCCUUCUGCCAUGUGCUGGUGGCUGCGGUCCUGCAGGAGCCAGGGGAAGGUGCUGAGCAGACCAAGCUGGUGUGUGAGCUUGUGGAGGAGUGCCUGGAGCCACACUGUGUGCAGCUGGUGCUAAGCCAAGUCUUGGAGAUGCCUUUGUCAGAGAAGCUCCUGCCGGUAGUGCAGGCUGUGCUGGGGCGGCAGGAGGUGCUGCCCCCGGAGCUCUUGGAUCUCCUGGUCCUGACGCUGUGCCAGCAGGCCUCAGCCUUUGCCACAUCGCUUGACUAUGCCAAGCUGGUGACAGCCAUGCUUACCAUGUACCAGAGCCAGGUCACCCCAACUCACCGGAGCAGUCUGGCUGCUGCCCUGGAUCAGAGCAAUGCAGCUCUGAAGAAAUCACUGCAGGCUGUGCUGGAAGGGGCCAGAUGAGGUGACCACCAAAGGGAACUGCGAGGUGACAGGUUCCUUGCAUAGAGGACACUCAUUGCGCAGUGGCAGCUGCAGCCCACCCUUCACUGGGUUCCCCCCAGUGGGGUGGGACCCCACAGAGCACCCAAAGCCUCACGGCAGCAUCUGAUGUGAGGGGACUAUCAUUGGGCAGCGCCAUCCCAGCCUCCCACAUCCCCAGAGCUCGAAGGCAGAAGCUUUGCACAUGUCAGCGUUCCUCUCCGAGAGCUGAGCUGGUUUCGGAGCGGUGUGGCGGUGGUCUGCUGCGCUGUGUAUCUGAUCGGCUGGGAUUUACAGAUUUCUGGGUUCAGGAGAGUGGGAUUUAGCUGAAGAGCUGGGAAACUUGAACUUUCUGCUUUAAAUCCACUUUUUUUUCCUGUUUGCUAGGGACCCUGCUGUGUGUGACACAUUUCCGGGGAUGAUGACACUUCCCGUUGCAGGGUGUUUAAUGAUACUCUAAUAAAAAGUGCUUCUAUAGUGUGACUGUGCCCAAA